rnacentral:rRNA from 1 species
CCUACGGGAGGCAGCAGUGAGGAAUAUUGGUCAAUGGACGAGAGUCUGAACCAGCCAAGUAGCGUGAAGGCUGACUGCCCUAUGGGUUGUAAACUUCUUUUAUAUGGGAAUAAAAUGUUCCACGUGUGGAAUUUUGUAUGUCUCAUAUGAAUAAGGAUCGGCUAACUCCGUGCCAGCAGCCGCGGUAAUACGGCGGAUCCGAGCGUUAUCCGGAUUUAUUGGGUUUAAAGGGAGCGUAGGUGGAUUGGUAAGUCAGUUGUGAAAGUUUGCGGCUCAACCGUAAAAUUGCAGUUGAAACUGGCAGUCUAGAGUACAGUAGAGGUAGGCGGAAUUCGUGGUGUAGCGGUGAAAUGCUUAGAUAGCACGAAGAACUCCGAUUGCGAAGGCAGCUCACUGGACUGCAACUGACACUGAGGCUCGAAAGUGUGGGUAUCAAACAGGAUUAGAUACCCCGGUAGUC